rnacentral:rRNA from 1 species
GACGAAGGAUGCAAGCGUUAUCCGGAUUCAUUGGGUUUAAAGGGAGCGUAGGUGGACUUGUAAGUCAGUGGUGAAAUCUUUGGGCUUAACCCAGAAACUGCCAUUGAUACUGCAGGUCUAGAGUACAGUUGCCGUUGGCGGAAUAUAACAUGUAGUGGUGAAAUACUUAGAUAUGUCAUAGAACACCGAUUGCGAAGGCAGCUAACGAAGCUGUAACUGACACUGAGGCUCGAAAGUGCGGGGAUCAAACAGG